AAAUUCGAGACCUCGCCAGCUCGUUAUAUACUGUUCUUUCAUCGAUCUCGUCGGAUAACACGAGAAUGGCAAAAAUCGUAAGUCAAAGAAUGAUCUCUGCAUAUACAGCCAGACACCUACGUGUAUGCGUCUAUGGAGUCGGACCACGAGCAAAGCAGCAACAGGUUUAAUCGCGUCGGGGUGUGGCUGACUGACUGGCUGGCCGGCUCCGCUCAUUCGGCUGCUCUUUUGCCGCGUCGAUGCGCCACUCAUCGUCAGCUGGGGAAAACCUGGACACCGGUCUGGAAAUUACAA